CUCUCUCUCUCUCUCUCUCUCUCUCUCUCUCUUUCUCUUCCUUCCUCUUCCUUUGGCUUUUUGUCCUCAACUGCAUGGAUCGCUUGUGACCUAUAAGCCGCCGUCGACUUUGUUAAGAAAGCAUAAAGGGAUCCCUCGUGGCCAUCAUCAACCGUCGAACGAGGAGGCGGUUGUGUUUUAGUUUGUUCCUGGGUGAGUGGUUCUGUAUGCUUAAGUUAUGUCGUGGACCUUGGAUUUCUCUGUACGAAUUCAAAGGCAAUACAGUCGCGAAAGCAGCAAGAUAAUGUGGAUGGCGCUGGACUAUGGACGCCCUGUGGCAAACCGGACGACGAUGAUCUCAGCUUGUCUAUGUCAUAAUGUCAUGGCUGGAAUCUGUGAAGCUUCGGAUGUACUAGAGCUGUGGAUAGGACAGCGGACUUGGGAUCCAUGAUUUAUUCUCUGGAGUUCUCCGUGGUUCGAUUCUUUAUUCUUGCAAUUAUGUGAUAUGCAUACAUGAAAAUGUUCUCCACGAGUAUUUUGCAAUCGUCAUUGAGGUCAUUGCUGGACAGGCAAGAAAAGUUGUUGGGGCAUCAUCCAUGGAGAAUGGUAAUCAACUCUUGUUAAAACUAUUCUUAUUUUGUAAAAAUCUUAUUGUUUUUUUUUUUGAAGCUUUGAUUCUUGUAUCUAUUACUGCCUAUAGCUAAUUUGCGCUGGAUUGUUUUUAUGUUUUGAGAUUGAUUCUGUAGUUUUGAGGUUUGUUGUUUCCUUGUUUAGCUUCCGUAUCAAAAGUGCCAUAGCUGCUGCUUCA